AAUCAACGCUGGCGGCGUGCCUCAGACAUGCAAGUCGAACGAUUAAAGCUCUCUUCGGAGAGUGCAUAGAGUGGCGCACGGGUGAGUAACACGUAAGUAAUCUACCUUCGAGUGGGGAAUAACGUCCGGAAACGGACGCUAAUACCGCAUAAUGCAGCGGCAUCGUAAGAUGACAGUUGUUAAAGAUUUAUCGCUUGAAGAGGAGCUUGCGGCAGAUUAGCUAGUUGGUAAGGUAAUGGCUUACCAAGGCUACGAUCUGUAACCGGUCUUAGAGGACGGUCGGUCACACUGACACUGAAUAACGGGUCAGACUCCUACGGAGGCAGGCAGUCGGGAAUUUUGGGCAAUGGCGAAAGCCUGACCCAGCAACGCCGCGUGAAGGAUGAAGUAUUCGGUAUGUAAACUUCGAAAGAAUAGGAAGAAUAAAUGACGGUACCGGAAGAAUAAGCCCGGCUAACUUCGUAGCCAGCAGCCGCGGUAA
rnacentral:rRNA from 1 species